GACGAACGCUGGCGGCGUGCUUAACACAUGCAAGUCGAACGGAAAGGCCCUGCGUUUGUGGGGUGCUCGAGGGGCGAACGGGGGAGUAACACGUGAGUAACCUGCCCUUGACUUUCGGAUAACUUCAGGAAACUGGGGCUAAUACCGUAUAGGAGCUCCUGCUGCAUGGUGGGGGGGGGAAAGUUUCGGCGGGUGGGGAUGGACUCGCGGGUUAUCAGCUUGUUGGUGGGGUAGUGGCUUACCAAGGCUUUGACGGGUAGCCGGCCUGGGAGGGUGACCGGCCACAUUGGGACUGAGGUACGGACCAGACUGCUACGGGAGGCAGCAGGGGGGAAUAUUGCCCAAUGGGCGGAAGCCUGAUGAAGCAGCGCCGCGUGCGGGAUGACGGCCUUCGGGUUGUAAACCGCUUUCGCCUGUGACGAAGCGUGAGUGACGGUAAUGGGUAAAGAAGCACCGGCUAACUACGUG
rnacentral:rRNA from 1 species